rnacentral:tRNA from 1 species
GCCACCCUAGCUCAAUUGGACAGAGCGGCGGUAUCGUAAACCGCAGGUUGACGGUUCAAUUCCGUCGGGUGGCUCCA